rnacentral:rRNA from 1 species
AAUCCAUAGGUUAAUGAGGCGAACCGGGGGAACUGAAACAUCUAAGUACCCCGAGGAAAAGAAAUCAACCGAGAUUCCCCCAGUAGCGGCGAGCGAACGGGGAGGAGCCCAGAGCCUGAAUCAGCAUGUGUGUUAGUGGAAGCGUCUGGAAAGGCGCGCGAUACAGGGUGACAGCCCCGUACACAAAAGCGCAUGUGCUGUGAGCUCGAUGAGUAGGGCGGGACACGUGGUAUCCUGUCUGAAUAUGGGGGGACCAUCCUCCAAGGCUAAAUACUCCUGACUGACCGAUAGUGAACCAGUACCGUGAGGGAAAGGCGAAAAGAACCCCGGCGAGGGGAGUGAAAAAGAACCUGAAACCGUGUACGUACAAGCAGUGGGAGCACAGGUUUACCUGUGUGACUGCGUACCUUUUGUAUAAUGGGU